UGGAUUUUAAGAAAGUAAGCACAUUUUUUCACUCCCCUCUGUUAUUUUGGGAUCUAAGAGAAAUUUUAACUGAACUUCAUCUCUUAGUUUAUUUCCCAACAUCAUUUUGGGGAGUGCAAGGCACAAUCACCCCCUAUCAUCCUGCAAAGGGCACACAUGAAAUGACUUGUCACUGCACUCAACACUUGGUGAUAAAACUUAGAGAGGCUCCACAGCUGCAGAUACUAAUGACCCGCCCACAUGGGUGUCAGAAAGUCUUGUUGCUCAGUGACAGGGAGCUUGAAAAGAAUUAGAAAAAACAAGCAUCAAAGAAUACAGAUGGUGUAAUAUAAUAACUGGGUGUACUUAGUGAGAAUUUGGACCCGGGGAAGUGUAAAUUGUGUGUCAUUAAGCUAUCUGUGGGUGAUUUGUUGGUGCUGAGACACAUGCGAAUGUUACAAUCCGAGAGAACGUAUAAUAAACUUCAAUUACACUCAAAAUAACUUUUCCACUG